AGGAUGUGAUCUCUCUCCCAAGGUUGUGGUGAGAUUAAAAGGAGAGAAGGUUUAUAGCUAUUAUUGUGAUUAUGGUUACAAUAAAUUCUUAGAAAACAUAGUCAUGCCUUUUAAUAACAGUGACUAUUAUUUUUGGGACACUUUUUAAUGUGAUAUGUUUUUAUGAAUUUAUGAUUUGAUUUUUCUGUGUAAAAUUUUCCUC
rfam:Otolemur garnettii contig135424, whole genome shotgun sequence.